rnacentral:lncRNA from 1 species
GCCACGUCACGGUUCCCAGCCUGCACCCUUUCUGCUUAUUUGUGACAUCUGGUUCUUUACGGGAAUGUUUCAUUCGCUAAAUACUCUUCCGUGCUGCAGCCUCUGGCGCAGCAUGUAAUUGCUGAGCGUUGAAUUAUGUGAUAGCAUUUGGAAAGCUACUGCGCACGAGAUUAUGCCCAGCGUGGCUAAUCUAGAAUAAUCCACAGCCCAGGCAGCGAUGCUCUCAGCGCAGGGGAGCAUUCUGGCAAUGAGAGCAGCUUACUGAAUGAUACCAAAACAGAGCAUCAGGAAGUCCCAUCGAGUCAAACGCCAAUGCAAAUCCCCCGUUGGGUGGAAUAAUAACAAGAGAAUCCAUUAAUAAUGAGAGAAUUGGGCAAUCAGAUUCCAGUGGGUGAAAUCACAUGUGCCUCAUAUGCUACAGAUUACGUCUGAGCAGAUGGAGAGAGAGCAACGUGCAUAGGAUGCUGAUUCUAAAAGUGAAGAAUGUGUGGGAAACAAGUGGUGUAUCAGCGUUUGAUUUCGGUCGAGGGCAAUUCUAUGCACACCAAUGAGAACUGGGUCAACCACUGUGUGAAAUGCAUUACACUUAAUAAUAGUAAUGUCUAGAGAAGUGAAGUUGCAUUAUACAUAUGAAAUGUUUUUUCAAGUCUUUGGGUCUGCAGCUAAAAGUAGAAAAUUGCUUGCAAUCAGACAAGUCUUGUGAGGUCCCCAAAUUAAAUUUUUUCUGGUCCCGUGCUUUAGAUUUGGGUUGGAGUCUGCACCUCUGGUAAUGGGCCUCACAUGUUACCGAUCCUGUGGCAGAACUCGAGUUCGACCCAUUGGCAGAUCUAAUACUGCAUGCUGGAUCUAUACACACUUUUUGAGCUGCAUUAAGCGGGCCUAAUUGUACAUGUAAAUUCUGCAUUAAACUUUUAUUGAAAAGUAAAAAUACUGAUCAUCUAUUUCAGCAUACAUUAGAAAAUACAACUACAAACGUG